rnacentral:rRNA from 1 species
CAUGCAUGUCUAAGUAUAAGCAAUUAUACGGCGAAACUGCGAAUGGCUCAUUAUAUAAGUUAUCGUUUAUUUGAUAAUACUUUACUACUUGGAUAACCGUGGUAAUUCUAGAGCUAAUACAUGCUAAAAAUCCCGACUUCGGAAGGGUUGUAUUUAUUAGAUUAAAAACCAAUGCCCUCUGGGCUCUCUGGUGAAUCAUAAUAACUUGUCGAAUCGCAAGGCCUUGUGCCGGCGAUGGCUCAUUCAAAUUUCUUCCCUAUCAACUUUCGAUGUUUGGGUAUUGGCCAAACAUGGUGGCAACGGGUAACGGAGGGUUAGGGCUCGACCCCGGAGAAGGAGCCUGAGAAACGGCUACUACAUCCAAGGAAGGCAGCAGGCGCGCAAAUUACCCAAUCCCGACACGGGGAGGUAGUGACAAUAAAUACUGAUACAGGGCUCUUAUGGGUCUUGUAAUCGGAAUGAGUACAAUUUAAAUCCCUUAACGAGGAACAAUUGGAGGGCAAGUCUGGUGCCAGCAGCCGCGGUAAUUCCAGCUCCAAUAGCGUAUAUUAAAGUUGUUGUGGUUAAAAAGCUCGUAGUUGAACCUUGGGCCUGGCUGGCCGGUCCGCCUCACCGCGUGCACUGGUCCGGCCGGGCCUUUCCCUCUGUGGAACCUCAUGCCCUUCACUGGGUGUGACGGGGAAACAGGACUUUUACUUUGAAAAAAUUAGAGUGCUCCAGGCAGGCCUAUGCUCGAAUACAUUAGCAUGGAAUAAUAAAAUAGGACGUGUGGUUCUAUUUUGUUGGUUUCUAGGACCGCCGUAAUGAUUAAUAGGGACAGUCGGGGGCAUCAGUAUUCAAUUGUCAGAGGUGAAAUUCUUGGAUUUAUUGAAGACUAACUACUGCGAAAGCAUUUGCCAAGGAUGUUUUCAUUAA